UACGGAGGGUGCGAGCGUUAAUCGGAAUUACUGGGCGUAAAGCGCGCGUAUGCGGCUGGGUAAGUCGGAUGUGAAAGCCCCGGGCUUAACUUGGGAACUGCAUUCGAUACUGCCCGACUAGAGUAUGGUAGAGGAAAGCGGAAUUCCCGGUGUAGCGGUGAAAUGCGUAGAUAUCGGGAGGAACAUCAGUGGCGAAGGCGGCUUUCUGGACCAAUACUGACGCUGAGGCGCGAAAGCGUGGGUAGCAAACAGG
rnacentral:rRNA from 1 species